GACUCAACCGCCGUGGUGAUAAAUUUGUCACCGAUUGGUUAUAACUAUUUGCCACUGGUGAUAAGUUGCUCACCAACUGGUGGUAAAUUUAUAACCAAUCGGUAACAACGGCGGUAGAGUCAUAUACGUUUACUUUCUGAUUAUAAUUUCUGAUACUUUCUGAUUAUAAUUGGAUUUCUAAGUGUGUAGAAAAUAUCGAGUUAAACAGUACUUCAUAAACUACGCUUUACAGGUAAAUUGGAAAAAAUGCGCAAGACGGAAGUAUUCAUAAGUUUCCAAAAAAAUCACUUAAAUUGAAUACUGGCAGUUGUGAUAAGUCUCUAGGAAAACAAUGGCCUUAACAGUACGCAAUAUUGUGAAGAGGUACGAAUCUUGUGGCGAACUCGUGCUGAAUAAUCUCAAUUUGAAUGUUGCCGUAGGAGAAAUUUAUGGUCUCCUUGGGGCGAGUGGAUGCGGGUACGGAUGUAUAUAUUACAAGCCUCCCAGUUCAUAUUGUGAAAAUAUUUUGUUCCGUGAUUUUUACUAAUUUACAUAUGUAUUAUUGGUAUGCAAUGUUAUUGAUUUGUUUGGGGAAAUUGUGAAAUAAAAUAUUGUUUUGAUACGUG